rnacentral:rRNA from 1 species
GUGAGGAAUUUUCCGCAAUGGGCGAAAGCCUGACGGAGCAAUGCCGCGUGAAGGAUGAAGGCCUAUGGGUUGUAAACUUCUUUUCUCAGAAAAGAAUUAUGACGGUAUCUGAGGAAUAAGCAUCGGCUAACUCUGUGCCAGCAGCCGCGGUAAGACAGUGGAUGCAAGCGUUAUCCGGAAUGAUUGGGCGUAAAGCGUCUGUAGGUUGUUUAAAAAGUAUUCUGUCAAAGAUUAGGGCUUAACCCUAGAUAGGCAGAAUAAACUUUUAAGCUAGAGUUUGGUAGAGGCAGAGGGAAUUCCCGGUGGAGCGGUGAAAUGCGUAGAUAUCGGGAGGAACACCAAAGGCGAAGGCACUCUGCUGGGCCAAUACUAACACUGAGAGACGAAAGCGAGGGGAGCAAAUGGGAUUAGAAACCCGAGUAGUCC